rnacentral:rRNA from 1 species
GUACCGUGAGGGAAAGGCGAAAAGAACCCCGGCGAGGGGAGUGAAAAAGAACCUGAAACCGUGUACGUACAAGCAGUGGGAGCACGCUUAGGCGUGUGACUGCGUACCUUUUGUAUAAUGGGUCAGCGACUUAUAUUCUGUAGCAAGGUUAACCGAAUAGGGGAGCCGAAGGGAAACCGAGUCUUAACUGGGCGUUAAGUUGCAGGGUAUAGACCCGAAACCCGGUGAUCUAGCCAUGGGCAGGUUGAAGGUUGGGUAACACUAACUGGAGGACCGAACCGACUAAUGUUGAAAAAUUAGCGGAUGACUUGUGGCUGGGGGUGAAAGGCCAAUCAAACCGGGAGAUAGCUGGUUCUCCCCGAAAGCUAUUUAGGUAGCGCCUCGUGAAUUCAUCUCCGGGGGUAGAGCACUGUUUCGGCAAGGGGGUCAUCCCGACUUACCAACCCGAUGCAAACUGCGAAUACCGGAGAAUGUUAUCACGGGAGACACACGGCGGGUGCUAACGUCCGUCGUGAAGAGGGAAACAACCCAGACCGCCAGCUAAGGUCCCAAAGUCAUGGUUAAGUGGGAAACGAUGUGGGAAGGCCCAGACAGCCAGGAUGUUGGCUUAGAAGCAGCCAUCAUUUAAAGAAAGCGUAAUAGCUCACUGGUCGAGUCGGCCUGCGCGGAAGAUGUAACGGGGCUAAACCAUGCACCGAAGCUGCGGCAGCGACGCUGAUGCGUUGUUGGGUAGGGGAGCGUUCUGUAAGCCUGUGAAGGUGUGCUGUGAGGCAUGCUGGAGGUAUCAGAAGUGCGAAUGCUGACAUAAGUAACGAUAAAGCGGGUGAAAAGCCCGCUCGCCGGAAGACCAAGGGUUCCUGUCCAACGUUAAUCGGGGCAGGGUGAGUCGACCCCUAAGGCGAGGCCGAAAGGCGUAGUCGAUGGGAAACAGGUUAAUAUUCCUGUACUUGGUGUUACUGCGAAGGGGGGACGGAGAAGGCUAUGUUGGCCGGGCGACGGUUGUCCCGGUUUAAGCGUGUAGGCU